rnacentral:tRNA from 1 species
GAGGAUGUAGCUCAAAGGAAGAGUGUGUGUUUAGCAUUCACAAUUCCCUAAGUUUGAUCUCUAGCAUCCCUU